GUUUCUUGUACCAUGAGUGUUUGUUUGUCUUUCAUGGUUUUAGCAUGGCUCUUCAGCUCUCGCGGUGUCCUGACAGGUAAAACUUUAAUUUAUUUUAAUAUUUCUACUUUUUAAACAAUAUUUUUGCGUGCGAGAAGUGCAAGAUGCUGCAUUUAUUGACGGAUUUAACGCAUAUCUCAAAGAUUAUCGUCGUUACCAAAUGGAGGCUAUACAACUCUCCAAAAACAUUCACAUAUCCACAUUACACUACCGAUAAAGUCAAUCAAAAAAGACUUGUUAAAAGUUUUAGUGAAUAUACUUAAUUAACGAAUGGCAAAAGAUUGGUACAAAUACCAAAACUCUAGCAACAAAUAAAAAAAUGUAUUGUGAACUUCUUUGCAGAAAUUAAAACUUCACCCAGAGAUAAAUAAUCGAGUAAUACCU
rnacentral:lncRNA from 1 species